GGAAGACCAAGGGUUCCUGUCCAACGUUAAUCGGGGCAGGGUGAGUCGACCCCUAAGGCGAGGCCGAAAGGCGUAGUCGAUGGGAAACAGGUUAAUAUUCCUGUACUUGGUGUUACUGCGAAGGGGGGACGGAGAAGGCUAUGUUGGCCGGGCGACGGUUGUCCCGGUUUAAGCGUGUAGGCUGGUUUUCCAGGCAAAUCCGGAAAAUCAAGGCUGAGGCGUGAUGACGAGGCACUACGGUGCUGAAGCAACAAAUGCCCUGCUUCCAGGAAAAGCCUCUAAGCAUCAGGUAACAUCAAAUCGUACCCCAAACCGACACAGGUGGUCAGGUAGAGAAUACCAAGGCGCUUGAGAGAACUCGGGUGAAGGAACUAGGCAAAAUGGUGCCGUAACUUCGGGAGAAGGCACGCUGAUAUGUAGGUGAAGCGACUUGCUCGUGGAGCUGAAAUCAGUCGAAGAUACCAGCUGGCUGCAACUGUUUAUUAAAAACACAGCACUGU
rnacentral:rRNA from 1 species